rnacentral:rRNA from 1 species
UACGUAGGGGGCGAGCGUUGUCCGGAUUUAUUGGGCGUAAAGAGCUCGUAGGCGGCUUAGCAAGUCGGGUGUGAAAACUCCAGGCUCAACCUGGAGACGCCACUCGAGACUGCUAUGGCUAGAGUCCGGUAGGGGACCACGGAAUUCCUGGUGUAGCGGUGAAAUGCGCAGAUAUCAGGAGGAACACCGGUGGCGAAGGCGGUGGUCUGGGCCGGCACUGACGCUGAGGAGCGAAAGCGUGGGAGUCAAACAG